rnacentral:lncRNA from 1 species
GCCCGGAGCAGCGGCUCCGCGGUGGUCCCCGGGGCUUGAGAGGGGUGCGGGCCUGGGAGCCCCUGAGGGCCUGAUUUACGGAACUCCCCCUCCUUCCUCCUUUCUGCCGUUCCCUGCUCUGUGGCGGAUGCGCAGGGAUCAGUAGGGACGGCAGCAGUAGGGCCACUCGGGCCUGCCCCGCUUCCCGCAUUGCCCGGUUUGGCGCGCCGCCUCCGGGCCUUGGCAAAGCCCCAGCGCCCGAUUGUCACUGACCAGUGCUUGGAAGUCCUUUACCGACUGCCCGUCAGCGUCCCGCGGAGAGGAUUUUGCGUCUCCAAAGACGCCCCUCUUCCGAAAACAGGCUCCUCUGUGUUCUCAGUCGGGUAUAUUUUUCUGUCUCCAAACUAGAUUGGCAGCCGUUUUUUGAGAGCAGGGUCUUGCUCUGUUGCCCAGACUGGAGUGCAGUGGCGCCAUCUCAGCUGACUGCAGAUUCAACCUUCUGAGCUCACGAAAUCCUCCCAUCUCAACCUCCUGAGUAGCUGGGACCACAGGAUGGCACCUGACUUGAAGAUAGCACCUGACUUGAAGAUGGCACCUGACUAGCAUUUGGACUGGUUUGCAGGCUGAGCACAGGGUUGCUCCAGGUGGGCCCAAAUGCUGAAGAGCCUCAUGUUAGAGUUUUUCACCUCUGCGAUGGAACUGUGGUGGACUCCAGUAUCAUCAUUCCAGGGAGGCAUAGCCGCACCAACUGUGUUCCCAGGUUUCACAUGGAGAAGGGUUUUAGAAAGUGCAGAUAGCCUUGAAACCAUUGGUUUCCUACCACUGUUUAUUUCAGCAUAACUUUUUUUGUGUGGAAUGCUAGCUCUGGAAGAGCAGAAAUAAAUACAGCUUAAGCUUUGAACCAUA